rnacentral:rRNA from 1 species
AGUGAACGCUGGCGGUAGGCCUAACACAUGCAAGUCGAACGGCAGCACAGUAAGAGCUUGCUCUUACGGGUGGCGAGUGGCGGACGGGUGAGGAAUACAUCGGAAUCUACUUUUUCGUGGGGGAUAACGUAGGGAAACUUACGCUAAUACCGCAUACGACCUACGGGUGAAAGCAGGGGAUCUUCGGACCUUGCGCGAUUGAAUGAGCCGAUGUCGGAUUAGCUAGUUGGCGGGGUAAAGGCCCACCAAGGCGACGAUCCGUAGCUGGUCUGAGAGGAUGAUCAGCCACACUGGAACUGAGACACGGUCCAGACUCCUACGGGGGGCAGCAGUGGGGAAUAUUGGACAAUGGGCGCAAGCCUGAUCCAGCCAUACCGCGUGGGUGAAGAAGGCCUUCGGGUUGUAAAGCCCUUUUGUUAGGAAAGAAAAGCAGCAGGUUAAUACCCCGCUGUUCUGACGGUACCCAAAGAAUAAGCACCGGCUAACUUCGUG